AUUGAACGCUGGCGGCAUGCCUUACACAUGCAAGUCGAACGGCAGCGGACCUUCGGGUGCCGGCGAGUGGCGAACGGGUGAGUAAUAUAUCGGAACGUACCUUUCAGUGGGGGAUAACGUAGCGAAAGUUACGCUAAUACCGCAUAUUCUGUGAGCAGGAAAGCAGGGGAUCGCAAGACCUUGCGCUGAUUGAGCGGCCGAUAUCAGAUUAGCUAGUUGGUGAGGUAAAGGCUCACCAAGGCGACGAUCUGUAGCGGGUCUGAGAGGAUGAUCCGCCACACUGGAACUGAGACACGGUCCAGACUCCUACGGGAGGCAGCAGUGGGGAAUUUUGGACAUGGGCGCAAGCCUGAUCCAGCCAUGCCGCGUGAGUGAAGAAGGCC
rnacentral:rRNA from 1 species